ACCAAUCGGAGAUUGUCGGGGCAUAAAAAUUUGUGACAGGAGCAGCUUCAACUCCACGUCUAUUCAGUAGGCACCUGAAGUACUGCAAGAUAGGUAAAGCUGUUAAGGUAAUAUUUCCAGAAGAUAUGGCCUCUCUCCUACUCCAUGAGCGCUUUUUUGCAAUACCAGUUGACACGGGUCCAACCUUUUGAAAUUUUUAUAUCUUGAGCUCUGUGUACAAAAUAUUUAUAUGCAUCCUUGGUAGUCAAGUCGCAAUCCUGAAGCCUCAAUGGUCCUCUGCAAUAAUUGAUUGCCCAUUAUUUUUAUCUACAAAUAAAGUAUAACUCCCAUCCACCCCAAGCUGAAGCUCCUCACUACCAAAGUGAACUACAAUUUUCAAUUUACUGAUGUCAUAAGCCGAUCCUUUAUACCUAACAUCUGAAAAAUAGAAAAACUCUGGCGAUGCUUGAAGAUAAUCCUCUUGUAUCUCUCAAACGCGUCCUUGGCGAUAGUGGACUUGCCUCCGUCGCCACUGACAACAAGAGAAAGUGCUGGCUCAAUGGAUAGGGUGCGAUCGCCAGAGGUGAACUCCGAUUGCAGCGGCCAGACGUAAGUGAGCGUGUUAUCGAGUUGAAAGGCGAAAUCCUGCCACAGGAUUGUUAAGAUUGACAGAAAUUGUG
rnacentral:misc_RNA from 1 species